ACUAUGGUUCUAGAUGCUAUCUGUGAUCUAUCAAACAAUCAGCCAAAACAUGUAAGCACAUAAGGAAUAAAUCUGGAAUGACAGAUACUUAAACAGUAAUAGUAAUUACCUGAGAAACAGACAAUGGGGACUGACUGAUGGCAAAGGU
rnacentral:lncRNA from 13 species